UACGAGGGGGGCAAAUGUUGUUCGGAAUCACUGGGCGUAAAGGGAGCGUAGGCGGGUUUUUAAGUUGGAUGUUUAACCCCGGGGCCCAACCCCGGAUCGGCAUCCAAAACUGGAAAUCUUGAAUAGGGGGAGAGGUCAGUGGAAUUGGAGGUGUAGCGGUGGAAUGCGUAGAUAUCGGAAGGAACAUCAGUGGCGAAGGCGACUUCCUGGACCAAUACUGACGCUCAGGUGCGAAAGCGUGGGGAGCAAACAGGG
rnacentral:rRNA from 1 species